ensembl:lncRNA LINC02055 long intergenic non-protein coding RNA 2055
GGGGCUUCUCCAGCAUAUGGCCUUUGGACUUCAUCUAUACCAUCCGCACUUCUGGGUCUCCAGCCUGCUGGCCCACACUACAGAUUUUGGACUUCCCAGCUUCCAUAAUCAUGUAAGAUGUGACUUGCUCCUCCUUGCCUUCUGCCAUGAUUGUGAGGCCUCCCCAGUCAUGUGGAACUCAUUAUGCCUACCAGGAGAACUGGAACCCAAGGUGAACCCUUCUUGGACGAUGAUGUGGCUACUAAGAGAACCAUUUAUAUCUGCCAUAUCAACAUGAAUGAUCUUAUUCAAGAAAUCUACUCGCAGUUCCAGAAAUUUCACUCUGUGCUCUCAUAAACACUUUUCCUUUAUAAAUUACACUUAUCACUGAGUACAGGCUACAGGACAGGUACAUCUGUAUAAAGAUAGGAAAUAUAAAUUGCUACCUAACUGAAAACCUUCUGCCACCUGUUUGGAGACAAAAAAGCAGAAAGCAAUGUAUUUUAUUUUUAAAGAAAAGAAAGAGAUCAGGCUCUGAACACCUACUCUGUGCUACCCACUAAGAUACUUUGCACUCAUCUAUUUUUAUUCUCCAAACUACUUCAUGAGGUGAGGUUCAAAUGCUCAAUAUGCUGUGAAAAGUGGGUAAAGUGGUCUCUGCCCUUUGUGUCUGCUAAGUAAAUUAUGCUUUCUUCAUUGGGAAACACUCAUAAUACCCUUUGAGAAACCCACCUUCCCUAUGUCCAUAGGAUCUUUAUGGAGUUAAUCUCCACUCUUUACUUGCAGGGUUGGGAAUUUGCCCCAAAUCUGGUCAAUCAGAGUGGUUAGUUUGAUGUGGCACAUCAAACCCAAGUUUGUCUAAUUAGCAUGAGUCCAAGAAAUGUUUUUGGAACAUUUCUAGGCAAUAGGGACAAUGCAAGUAUAGAGAUACCAGAGACCAUCAUCUGAGAAGUCCUGCUGGAGAUAAACAAAGAAAACAGAAAAACAAAAGAA